CCUACGGGGCGCAGCAGUGAGGACUAUUGGUCAAUGGACGAGAGUCUGAACCAGCCAAGUAGCGUGAAGGAUGACUGCCCUAUGGGUUGUAAACUUCUUUUAUAUGGGAAUAAAACGUUCCACGUGUGGGAUUUUGUAUGUACCAUAUGAAUAAGGAUCGGCUAACUCCGUGCCAGCAGCCGCGGUAAUACGGAGGAUCCGAGCGUUAUCCGGAUUUAUUGGGUUUAAAGGGACCGUAGGUGGAUUGUUAAGUCAGUUGUGAAAGUUUGCGGCUCAACCGUAAAAUUGCAGUUGAAACUGGCAGUCUUGAGUACAGUAGAGGUGGGCGGAAUUCGUGGUGUAGCGGUGAAAUGCUUAGAUAUCACGAAGAACUCCGAUUGCGAAGGCAGUUCACUGGACUGCAACUGACACUGAGGCUCGAAAGUGUGGGUAUCAAACAGGAUUAGAUACCCUGGUAGUC
rnacentral:rRNA from 1 species